rnacentral:rRNA from 1 species
AACGAACGCUGGCGGCAUGCCUAACACAUGCAAGUCGAACGAGACCUUCGGGUCUAGUGGCGCACGGGUGCGUAACGCGUGGGAACCUGCCCUUAGGUUCGGAAUAACUCCCCGAAAGGGGUGCUAAUACCGGAUAAUGUCUUCGGACCAAAGAUUUAUCGCCUUUGGAUGGGCCCGCGUUGGAUUAGCUAGUUGGUAGGGUAAAAGCCUACCAAGGCGACGAUCCAUAGCUGGUCUGAGAGGAUGAUCAGCCACACUGGGACUGAGACACGGCCCAGACUCCUACGGGAGGCAGCAGUGGGGAAUAUUGGACAAUGGGCGAAAGCCUGAUCCAGCAAUGCCGCGUGAGUGAUGAAGGCCGGAGGGUUGUAAAGCUCUUUUACCCGGGAUGAUAAUGACAGUACCGGGAGAAUAAGCUCCGGCUAACUCCGUG